GAUGAACGCUGGCGGCGUGCCUAAUACAUGCAAGUAGAACGCUGAAGCUUGGUGCUUGCACCGAGCGGAUGAGUUGCGAACGGGUGAGUAACGCGUAGGGAACCUGACUGGUAGCGGGGGAUAACUAUUGGAAACGAUAGCUAAUACCGCAUAACAGUAGAUAUUGCAUGAUAUCUGCUUGAAAGGUGCAAAUGCAUCACUACCAGAUGGACCUGCGUUGUAUUAGCUAGUUGGUGAGGUAACGGCUCACCAAGGCGACGAUACAUAGCCGACCUGAGAGGGUGAUCGGCAACACUGGGAAUGGGACACGGCCCAGACUCCUGCGGGAGGCAGCAGUAGGGAAUCUUCGGGAAUGGGGGGAACCCUGACCGAGCAACGCCGCGUGAGUGAAGAAGGUUUUCGGAUCGUAAAGGUCUGUUGUAAGAGAAGAGCGAGUGUGAGAGUGGAAAGUUCACGCUGUGACGGUAUCUUACCAGAAAGGGACGGCUAACUCCGUG
rnacentral:rRNA from 1 species